rfam:Nelumbo nucifera unplaced genomic scaffold scaffold00024, whole genome shotgun sequence
UCCAUUAUUGUCUAGUCCGCUUAGGAUACAUGGCUUUCACCCAAGCGACUCGGGUUCAAAUCCUGGCAAUGGAA